rnacentral:rRNA from 1 species
GGCGGCGUGCUUAACACAUGCAAGUCGAACGAAGAGCGAUGGAAGCUUGCUUCUAUCAAUCUUAGUGGCGAACGGGUGAGUAACGCGUAAUCAACCUGCCCUUCAGAGGGGGACAACAGUUGGAAACGACUGCUAAUACCGCAUACGAUCUAAUCUCGACAUCGAGGAUAGAUGAAAGGUGGCCUCUACAUGUAAGCUAUCACUGAAGGAGGGGAUUGCGUCUGAUUAGCUAGUUGGAGGGGUAACGGCCCACCAAGGCGAUGAUCAGUAGCCGGUUGAGAGGAUGAACGGCCACAUUGGGACUGAGACACGGCCCAGACUCCUACGGGAGGCAGCAGUGGGGAAUCUUCCGCAAUGGACGAAAGUCUGACGGAGCAACGCCGCGUGAGUGAUGACGGCCUUCGGGUUGUAAAGCUCUGUUAAUCGGGACGAAAGGCCUUC